UACGGAGGGUGCAAGCGUUAUCCGGAUUUACUGGGUUUAAAGGGUGCGUAGGUGGAUUGGUAAGUCAGUGGUGAAAUACUACAGCGCAACUGUGGAACUGCCCUUGAUACUAUCAAUCUUGAAUGCAGUGGAGGCAGGCGGAAUGUGUCAUGUAGCGGUGAAAUGCUUAGAUAUGACACAGAACACCUAUUGCGAAGGCAGCUUGCUACACUGUGAUUGACACUGAGGCACGAAAGCGUGGGGAGCAAACAGG
rnacentral:rRNA from 1 species